CGGCACUAUGGCCGAGUGGUUAAGGCGAGAGACUCGGGAUCUCUUGGGCUCUGCCCGCGCUGGUUCAAAUCCUGCUGGUGUCGU